UACGUAGGCAGCAAGCGUUGUUCGGAUUUACUGGGCGUAAAGGGUGUGUAGGCGGUUCUUUAAGUUUGGUGUGAAAUCUCCCGGCUCAACUGGGAGGGUGCGCCGAAUACUGAGGGACUAGAGUACGGGAGAGGAAAGUGGAAUUCCUGGUGUAGCGGUGAAAUGCGUAGAUAUCAGGAGGAACACCGGUGGUGUAGACGGCUUUCUGGACCGUAACUGACGCUGAAACACGAAAGCGUGGGUAGCAAACAGG
rnacentral:rRNA from 1 species